UUGCUUUCCAAUGCAGGACAAACUUCAUCUGUGUUAUUCCUGUCAAACUUGUUCUUGAAGGCAUCCAGUGCUAAUGGAUAAUAUACUCCCCAGACAGCCCAUUCUCCUCCACCAUGAUGUGCUUGUAAAAUGUCUAGAAAGCUUUCUUCCUGGCUUACAGUCUGUUGGUUAUUAGUAAAACAUUUUGAACUUGCAUUUUGAAAGUCACUUUGUAGAUUCAGUGAGAAGACGACUUGUCAGGAUCACAAGGCAGAACCCUGUGGAGAUCUACUGGUUUUGUUGAUAGGGUUUAGCAGAUGUAUUCAUGACAAAUUGUUAUGGUACAGUCCAAUAUCUGCAUCUUGCAUUGUGCUGUAGCAUAUAUUGUAUUGCACUAUUGCGGCUUGGUAUCAUUUGCCCUUUAGCUCUGGUACAAAGACCUGAGAUUUAGGCAAAAUUGGUCCUGCUUUUAUAAUGCAACAAAUAGUGAAUGAAAUGUGGGUUUGCUUGUACUGCUGUCAGAUUCCUGGGACCUGCUGCUCUGCUUCUUAGUCACACAUCCGGUAAUUUGGAAGAUGACUGCAUCUCAAGUUGUCUAAACAGUGAGAAAAGUUGGAUAAAACUUUUGUGGUGUAUCCUCAUGAGAUUAGAGUUGAAUCAGACUCAUAUUCUUUGGCUUUUAUUGUGUGAGCACCAUACUGAAGCACUGCAACAUUUCUGACAUUUUUCAUUGUAUUGUUAUAUCUGCAGAAAUAAUGCAUUGAAUUCAACAGAUGCAGAAAAUCCAGGAAUAGUUCCAGACAUCCCCAAAACCACGUUCUUGACAUACAAAAGAGUGAGAGAAAUUAUACAUUUCGGUUUGUGCAGAUAUAGGGGAAAAUGAUUUCUCUGCUUCACAAAAUAGGGAAAACAAAAAAGAGAUAAAUAUUAGAUUUUGUGUGUCUAUUUACUUAGUAAACUGUGUGCUUCUUGUGUCAAGAACUCUGAACUGCUUGGCCCUAAAGCAUGUCAUGCAAUGAAAUGCUGCUUUAAUUUUUUUAGCUUUUUUUCUCUUGAAUAUCAUACAAAUAAUAUUUAAUAGGAGUAGUAAAACAGUUUUGUAUCUGUUUGCCACAGUCUAGGACAUCAAAGAUCAAGUCCCAGGAAUUUUCUGAGUGGCAAGGCUCUGGAACAUGCUGCCCAGAAAGGUGGUGGUUGUCCUAUCCUUGGAGACAUUCAAGGUCCGGCUGGAUGGGGCUCUGAGCACCUGAUGGAGCUGUAGGUGUCCCUGUUCAUCACAGGGGAGUUGAAUCAGAUGAGCUUUCAAGGUCCCUUAUAACUCAAACGAUUGUAUGACAAUUAUAUGUGGUAUAGCACAUAACAGUGGUUGUCUUCAUCUCUGUUCUUUAUCAGUGAGUAAAUAAAAGGGAAGUCAGAUGCCACGUCUAGCAUUUCUGCUUCCACUCUGUGUUGCUCUUUUCUCAGCAUCUCCAGUUUGAAGUGUUAAGAGUGCAAUAUCUGCAACAAAUUAAUUAGUAAAAUCGUCAAAUGAAGUUAAGAAACUUAAAUUAUUAAUUCUUGAUCUGAAGAUCACAGGGACAGUACCUGUAUUUUCUGCCAUUUCAUCUUUAUACCGCAAGAGGAAAAAAGCAAGAUAGACAUGCUGAAUGGUGAUGAGACGAAGUGUUGAAGUAUUUCUAUUUGGAGACAUGAAUUCAAACAUAUGGAAGGAACUGAGACCCUCUGACCUACACAAAGCCUCCAGACAGUCAAAAGCAUUCCCUUGGUUGCGUGCUGCAAGUGUCUUGUAAAAAUAAGGCUGCACUUAGAGCUGCUGAGCACCACAAACUUCUGAACAUUAAGCUCAGUGGAAAUUAAGACAAAACAUCCCACAUCUCUGUGCUAAAAAGGAGAUGAGCUGCCAAACAGAUUCUGUUGCCAGCUGCUGCCUACUUUGCUCCUUUUAGGAUCUGUCACCUGCUUUGAAAUUCUUGGUGACUAAUGUAGGCCAUCCCCAAUCCUCAGGCAGAAGUCACUGCUACUCAAUUAAUAUUAAAUACUUUUGGCUUAUUAACAUAAUAAUUCUGUUUUUGCCUAAUUGCAAUCUUUAAGGGAUUAUAUAUAGUUUUUUCCUCUCUGUUUGGAAGUCCUAAGAGCUCUGAAGUUAUUGAUCAAAUCUUCCCCACAAAUCCUAAUGGAACCACAAGAGCAUGUGAUAUAGCUCUGAUCAGUCUCUGUGUUGCUAGUGAAUGCACUUCAAGCAAAUGAGAUUUGUUUCAGCUCCAUGUUGCUCAUACAGAUGCUUUGAAGACAUAUGAAAUGAGUACUCCAGAUAAUUUUGGCACUAUUAGAGAUAAGAGUCUUAUCAGGACCUGAGGUACCAACCUAAUUUUUUUUUCAUGAAAGCUGCCAGAGUAAACCCAUGACUCUUCUGAAUCAGCACAUCACGUUUGUUGUGCUCUGCAGAAAGGAGAGAACAGCAAAAGAUAAUGGACCGUGAUAGCACCACAGCUCUGGGAAAUGGGGCAAUGGAAAUAGCAGCAAAUGGUGAUCAAAAUGUCUGUGUUAAAGCUCAGCCCUGGAACAGACUGGAUACAUCUCCUGUUCAGCUUUUUCCUCUGAAAAAUAAGACACUGUUUACUUCAGGCAUUUCUCAUUAAGCUCAGAAAAACAGUACAUUUUCUCUGAUUCUGGAAGGGUAAGAUUGGAAAUGGUGGCCUGAUAUCUGUUAGCAAAUAAAGAAAAGAGGAAACGGACAGUUUUGCAGAUAGUCCUUCUAAGUCUCUGCAAGAGUACUGCUGGAGUAGCAGAUGCUCAAAGGGAGCCUUUACAUACGUGUUACCCAUUUAACAGUGAUAAGAUGAAGCCCUCUGCAGACAGAGUAUGGGAGAUACAAGGAAUAAAGCUUGCCUACAGGUGGUUGACAAAUAAACCAAGUCUUUUAUGCCUAAAGACUGGAUAUUGACAUUUGGCAAACACAAAUCCUAGCAUGGUGGCAAUUCACAAUCCUCUUGAGGCUUUCCAAGGUCUCAGCACAUGUGCUAAGAGCUUGCAUUGCCUAUGAAUGUUUUCAUCAACCAUCAAUGGCUCAAGUCUUUAUAUUUCACACUACUAUAUCUCUAGGUUGCUAUGCAGCCAAAAAUCCUUGAUGAUUAGCAGAUAUUUGGACAUUCUGGUAAUGAAACCAUGUUAGUUGCCAGAGAAAGUGUCAGUAAUUGAUUGGUGUGAUGCACUAUGGAUUGGAUGAUAGUUUAUUCUUAGGAAAGAGGUUUUCAUCCAUUUUUUUCCCCAGUGUUUUACAUUUGUUCUCAAAACAUGGAAAUCCUAGGGACAAUUUUAGAAAUAAAAAAUUCAUGGCAUGAGGCCAUUUGAUGCUGCCAUUAAGGCACUUCACUGCUGUAUUCCUGGGCCGUCAAGGGAGGAUGGGUGUUGUGUAAAUUAGCAGCAAGCUGCACGUUGCACAGCUGCACAGAAGGACCAAGAGUGAGCUUAACUGAGGGGCAAAAGUGUAGAGCUGGCCAGCAAGAACUGCCUUAUGUAACAGAAAUUAUAAAAUGCCAUUCAGUGUACAAUCAAAAGUGAGAGAAACCUCUGGAUAUGAUGCGUUUAAACUUCUGGGCUAUUUUGAUACUGGAUCCAAGUCACUCGGAGAGCCCAGUGGUGAUGAAUACACCUCACAACAUGCCUGUUAUUUGCUUUCUGUGUUUACUCCUUCUUUUAGAAGGGUAUCACUCUUUGCUUUUCUGGUCAACAUCAUUUUGGCUGUGUGUUGAUAUACAAUCUCAGACUGCCUGUGCAGAUAGCUUUUCAGCAAUCCCUGCAUUGUGCAAGAAUAGAUUUAGAAAAGUGAAGGGCGAGGUUAAUCAUACUGCUGUGGUUGUGCAGGUGUGCUCAGCACUUUCCUCAAACUUCUGUUGUUAAAGGGUUCCAAGGCAUGUGGUUAAAAAAUGGGCUGCUAACUCUGUAUUCCAACACCUAUAUGUUAAUGGCCUGGCCUGUGAGAAGCAAGGAACAUCCACAUAAACCCCCAAUGCUCCUCCACACACAUUUGGAGCAUUAUCAUAAAAGGACUCCAAUAUUAAUCCCAUAAACUCCAGAUGGAAGGCUUUAGUAAUGCUAGAAGACUAAGCUCAGUGACUUCUUUGUGAGCUACAUGUACUUAUCAUAGGUGAGCUAGUACGUGGGCCAAGAAGACGUCAGUGAAUGAUUCAUACUUUGAAUCACUGGAUGGAGAAUGUAGCUGAAAUUAUUCCAAUUUCUUGCUCUGUGUCUCCUUGCAGUAAAGUCUGGUUGAUUAUUGCUUGUUGGUUAUCCUUACUGUCAUUAUUAUUCUCUCUAAACUUCUGCAGCAGCUGCAGUGUUCAUUCUUUGUCUGGAUGUCUAAAGGAGGGGAGAUCAGAGAAUACCAGUAGGUAAAUAACUGUUUUAUUUUGUCAUGUUUUGUUUUGUAUUGAUUUGUUUUCUGUCAGUGCUGGAGCAUCUCCUUGAGGAAUGCGCAGCUCUGAGCCGUAUCUUGUCCUGGUUCAGGGACACUGGGUGUUCAGAGCACUGGCUCUUCUGUGGCACAGUGCGUGAAGGGUGAACUGUAUCAAAAGAAGGGCACAAGGAACAACACAUGCAUCUAAGUUUUUAUCAUUUAUUGGAAACAAGCGUAAACCCCGCUAGCGCUGGGGGGGCC
ensembl:lncRNA